rnacentral:misc_RNA from 1 species
GAAAUGCGAUAAGUAAUGUGAAUUGCAGAAUUCAGUGAAUCAUCGAAUCUUUGAACGCACAUUGCGCCCGCCAGUACUCUGGCGGGCAUGCCUGUUCGAGCGUCAUUUCAACCAUCAAGCCCCCGGCUUGUUUUGGGGACCUGCGGCUGCCCGCAGGCCCUGAAAAACAGUGGCGGGCUCGCUGUCACACCGAGCGUAGUAGCAUACAUUCUCGCUCAGGGCGUGCUGCGGGUUCCGGCCGUUAAACGACCUUCAUAACCCAAGGUUGACCUCGGAUCAGGUAGGAAGACCCGCUGAACUUAAGC